UACGUAGGGGGCAAGCGUUGUCCGGAUUUAUUGGGCGUAAAGAGCGUGUAGGCGGCUUUACAGGUCCGUUGUGAAAACUCGAGGCUCAACCUCGAGACGCCGGUGGAAACCGUAAGGCUAGAGUCCGGAAGAGGAGAGUGGAAUUCCUGGUGUAGCGGUGAAAUGCGCAGAUAUCAGGAAGGACACCCGUGGCGAAGGCGGCUCUCUGGGACGGUACUGACGCUGAGACGCGAAAGCGUGGGGAGCGAACAGG
rnacentral:rRNA from 1 species